rfam:Leucosporidium creatinivorum strain 62-1032 BCR35scaffold_101, whole genome shotgun sequence.
UUCUCGUUCGUAUAGUGGCUAGUAUACACGCCUGUCACGCGUGUGACCCGGGUUCAAUUCCCGGACGGGAAG